GUGCGUUUUUCCCCCUGGGUGACACCCUCCCCACUCUGCUAUAUAAAGCCAUCAUACAGCAGACAAACUCUCACUGCUGUCAUGGCUCAGCGCAGCUCACUGGAUGAGUCUGUCGGCAUUCUCAGCAUCUCUGCAGGCUCUCUCCUGCUGCUGGUGAASAGCUAUGCCAGCACUCCUGAAAAAGACUUCAUCCCCCACACUGCGCUGGGGAUCUUACUCCUCAUCAUUGCUGCCCUGAUAGCUUACACAGGUGUCCGUCACAGUCUGUCCCACUCACGGCUGUUUUCCAC